rnacentral:pre_miRNA from 1 species
UGGUCAUCUGAAUAUCGAAAUUGAGUGAAGGAUUAUCAAAAGAGCAAAAUCUAACCAGAGGAGAACAUUAUCCCUCAUUCAAUUUCGGUAUUCAGAUGACCA